GCGUAAGUUGCUAGAGGUCGAUAC
rnacentral:ncRNA from 2 species